CUGAACAUCCUCCUCCAGGGAUGUUCCAUUUGAUGGCCAUAGUAACACCUAAUUCACAGACUUGUUAAAGCUAGAGAAAUGACACAUGCCGAGUGUCCAGGCUCGAACCUGGCAUAAUUAGAGGCAGCUGAUUGUACCACCAGGCAGGAGUUUUAAAAGCUUCUCUUACCCUUGGUGCCGUACUCACUCACAGAGGGUCCUUGCCUCUUCUUUCCAAGCUUCCUCCCUUUAGUGCAAGAGAUGGGAGCACAUUCAGAUGCACCCUUAGACUGGAGAAACAUGGGAUUCACCAAAGUUUCUUUCUGCUGAAGUACAGUAAAUUAGCCAGCCCCUUGCUAGUAACAGUUCUGCCAAUUUCAGGGCUUUGGUGCCCUAAUUUAAUCCUUUAUCACAUAGCACAAACUCACAAGACUCAAAUCCAGUUGAAGUCAUCGUUAAACUGUUUGGUGAAACUCAAAAUUACCAGCGCACUUAACUGCAUUUUCUGAAAAGCCAACACACAAGGUUUCAGUUUUGCUGGUGUUGAUGGCAGCUGCUAACAUUUGAUUUUAUUCAUGUGGGAAACGAGACAUACCAAAAUCACACAUACAUGAGACACUAAGAUCUCUCCUGGAGAGCAGGAGGCUGAACCAAGUCCAGAAAGAAAGCCACACGUGGCCGUCCAUUGCUCGGCCCUCAGGUGCCCAUGUGUCCCCAUGUCGGGGAGUGGAGGCUCGGGGUCUCCUGGGCAGAGCUCACCUCCUGAAAAGUCCCAGCACUAAAAGCAAGACGGGAACACAGCCGUUGGAGCAAAAGCUACACCCAUCUGACGACACUCCACCCAACACCAACUGGUUUUAGGUUUGACUUUUCUUUUUCUCUAGCCUUUGCUGCCUUGAAUGUGUUUGUCAUUUACAAUAUGCUUUAGGGCACUAGAAGAUGAAAUUUUUGUUUUCAUUUUCUUUGCUUGUAAUAAAAUACUCUCUUUUGAGAAGUAUUUAAUCAGAUAAUGAAUUCAGCGAGGAUGGGCCCACUUUGCAGUGCAGACUCUGUGGGUUCCCUUGCCUCGAGGUUGAAGGAGCCAGAUAGAAUCCUCAUGUCUUUCCGGGCAAACACAUUAAUAAACAGCAAUGCCCAGAAUUGGACCUGGA